UUAAGCGACUAAGCGUACACGGUGGAUGCCCUGGCAGUCAGAGGCGAUGAAGGACGUGCUAAUCUGCGAUAAGCGUCGGUAAGGUGAUAUGAACCGUUAUAACCGGCGAUUUCCGAAUGGGGAAACCCAGUGUGUUUCGACACACUAUCAUUAACUGAAUCCAUAGGUUAAUGAGGCGAACCGGGGGAACUGAAACAUCUAAGUACCCCGAGGAAAAGAAAUCAACCGAGAUUCCCCCAGUAGCGGCGAGCGAACGGGGAGCAGCCCAGAGCCUGAAUCAGUGUGUGUGUUAGUGGAAGCGUCUGGAAAGGCGCGCGAUACAGGGUGACAGCCCCGUACACAAAAAUGCACAUGCUGUGAGCUCGAUGAGUAGGGCGGGACACGUGGUAUCCUGUCUGAAUAUGGGGGGACCAUCCUCCAAGGCUAAAUACUCCUGACUGACCGAUAGUGAACCAGUACCGUGAGGGAAAGGCGAAAAGAACCCCGGCGAGGGGAGUGAAAAAGAACCUGAAACCGUGUACGUACAAGCAGUGGGAGCACGCUUAGGCGUGUGACUGCGUACCUUUUGUAUAAUGGGUCAGCGACUUAUAUUCUGUAGCAAGGUUAACCGAAUAGGGGAGCCGAAGGGAAACCGAGUCUUAACUGGGCGUUAAGUUGCAGGGUAUAGACCCGAAACCCGGUGAUCUAGCCAUGGGCAGGUUGAAGGUUGGGUAACACUAACUGGAGGACCGAACCGACUAAUGUUGAAAAAUUAGCGGAUGACUUGUGGCUGGGGGUGAAAGGCCAAUCAAACCGGGAGAUAGCUGGUUCUCCCCGAAAGCUAUUUAGGUAGCGCCUCGUGAAUUCAUCUCCGGGGGUAGAGCACUGUUUCGGCAAGGGGGUCAUCCCGACUUACCAACCCGAUGCAAACUGCGAAUACCGGAGAAUGUUAUCACGGGAGACACACGGCGGGUGCUAACGUCCGUCGUGAAGAGGGAAACAACCCAGACCGCCAGCUAAGGUCCCAAAGUCAUGGUUAAGUGGGAAACGAUGUGGGAAGGCCCAGACAGCCAGGAUGUUGGCUUAGAAGCAGCCAUCAUUUAAAGAAAGCGUAAUAGCUCACUGGUCGAGUCGGCCUGCGCGGAAGAUGUAACGGGGCUAAACCAUGCACCGAAGCUGCGGCAGCGACGCUUAUGCGUUGUUGGGUAGGGGAGCGUUCUGUAAGCCUGCGAAGGUGUGCUGUGAGGCAUGCUGGAGGUAUCAGAAGUGCGAAUGCUGACAUAAGUAACGAUAAAGCGGGUGAAAAGCCCGCUCGCCGGAAGACCAAGGGUUCCUGUCCAACGUUAAUCGGGGCAGGGUGAGUCGACCCCUAAGGCGAGGCCGAAAGGCGUAGUCGAUGGGAAACAGGUUAAUAUUCCUGUACUUGGUGUUACUGCGAAGGGGGGACGGAGAAGGCUAUGUUGGCCGGGCGACGGUUGUCCCGGUUUAAGCGUGUAGGCUGGUUUUCCAGGCAAAUCCGGAAAAUCAAGGCUGAGGCGUGAUGACGAGGCACUACGGUGCUGAAGCAACAAAUGCCCUGCUUCCAGGAAAAGCCUCUAAGCAUCAGGUAACAUCAAAUCGUACCCCAAACCGACACAGGUGGUCAGGUAGAGAAUACCAAGGCGCUUGAGAGAACUCGGGUGAAGGAACUAGGCAAAAUGGUGCCGUAACUUCGGGAGAAGGCACGCUGAUAUGUAGGUGAAGUCCCUCGCGGAUGGAGCUGAAAUCAGUCGAAGAUACCAGCUGGCUGCAACUGUUUAUUAAAAACACAGCACUGUGCAAACACGAAAGUGGACGUAUACGGUGUGACGCCUGCCCGGUGCCGGAAGGUUAAUUGAUGGGGUCAGCGCAAGCGAAGCUCUUGAUCGAAGCCCCGGUAAACGGCGGCCGUAACUAUAACGGUCCUAAGGUAGCGAAAUUCCUUGUCGGGUAAGUUCCGACCUGCACGAAUGGCGUAAUGAUGGCCAGGCUGUCUCCACCCGAGACUCAGUGAAAUUGAACUCGCUGUGAAGAUGCAGUGUACCCGCGGCAAGACGGAAAGACCCCGUGAACCUUUACUAUAGCUUGACACUGAACAUUGAGCCUUGAUGUGUAGGAUAGGUGGGAGGCUUUGAAGUGUGGACGCCAGUCUGCAUGGAGCCGACCUUGAAAUACCACCCUUUAAUGUUUGAUGUUCUAACGUUGACCCGUAAUCCGGGUUGCGGACAGUGUCUGGUGGGUAGUUUGACUGGGGCGGUCUCCUCCUAAAGAGUAACGGAGGAGCACGAAGGUUGGCUAAUCCUGGUCGGACAUCAGGAGGUUAGUGCAAUGGCAUAAGCCAGCUUGACUGCGAGCGUGACGGCGCGAGCAGGUGCGAAAGCAGGUCAUAGUGAUCCGGUGGUUCUGAAUGGAAGGGCCAUCGCUCAACGGAUAAAAGGUACUCCGGGGAUAACAGGCUGAUACCGCCCAAGAGUUCAUAUCGACGGCGGUGUUUGGCACCUCGAUGUCGGCUCAUCACAUCCUGGGGCUGAAGUAGGUCCCAAGGGUAUGGCUGUUCGCCAUUUAAAGUGGUACGCGAGCUGGGUUUAGAACGUCGUGAGACAGUUCGGUCCCUAUCUGCCGUGGGCGCUGGAGAAUUGAGGGGGGCUGCUCCUAGUACGAGAGGACCGGAGUGGACGCAUCACUGGUGUUCGGGUUGUCAUGCCAAUGGCACUGCCCGGUAGCUAAAUGCGGAAGAGAUAAGUGCUGAAAGCAUCUAAGCACGAAACUUGCCCCGAGAUGAGUUCUCCCUGACUCCUUGAGAGUCCUGAAGGAACGUUGAAGACGACGACGUUGAUAGGCCGGGUGUGUAAGCGCAGCGAUGCGUUGAGCUAACCGGUACUAAUGAACCGUGAGGCUUAACCU
rnacentral:rRNA from 1 species